GCGGUUGUGGCGUAGCGGUCUAUCGCAUCGGUUUGUGGAACCGACAUUCGUGGGUUCAAAUCCCAUCAGCCGCC
rnacentral:tRNA from 1 species